CAAGUCGAACGCGAAAGUGGAGCAAUCCAUGAGUAGAGUGGCAAACGGGUGAGUAACACGUGGGUGACCUGCCUUUGAGUGGGGGAUAACGUCCCGAAAGGGUCGCUAAUACCGCAUAACAUACUGCCUUUGAAGAGGUGGACAUCAAAGCCUGGGACCGCAAGGCCAGGCGCUCGAAGAGGGGCCCGCGUCCGAUUAGCUAGUUGGUGGGGUAACGGCUCACCAAGGCAACGAUCGGUAGCCGGCCUGAGAGGGCGGACGGCCACACUGGGACUGAGACACGGCCCAGACUCCUACGGGAGGCAGCAGUGGGGAAUUGUUCGCAAUGGGCGCAAGCCUGACGACGCAACGCCGCGUGGAGGAUGAAGAUCUUCGGGUCGUAAACUCCUUUCGAUCGAGACGAACGGCCUCUGGGUUAACAGCCUGGAGGAGUGACGGUACCGAGAGAAGAAGCCCCGGCUAACUCCGUGCCAGCAGCCGCGGUAAUACGGGGGGGGCAAGCGUUGUUCGGAAUUACUGGGCGUAAAGGGCUCGUAGGUGGCCAACUAAGUCAGACGUGAAAUCCCUCGGCUUAACCGGGGAACUGCGUCUGAUACUGGAUGGCUUGAGGUUGGGAGAGGGAUGCGGAAUUCCAGGUGUAGCGGUGAAAUGCGUAGAUAUCUGGAGGAACACCGGUGGCGAAGGCGGCAUCCUGGACCAAUUCUGACACUGAGGAGCGAAAGCCAGGGGAGCAAACGGGAUUAGAUACCCCGGUAGUCCUGGCCCUAAACGAUGAAUGCUUGGUGUGGCGGG
rnacentral:rRNA from 1 species